rnacentral:rRNA from 1 species
AGGAUAAACGCUGGCGGCGUGCCUAACACAUGCAAGUCGAACGUCCUGUUCUCGCAAGAGAGCAGGGAGUGGCGGACGGGUGAGGAACACGUGACUAACCUACCCUUGAGUGGGGGGAUAACCUAGAGAAAUCUGGGCUAAUACCGCAUAAUACCUUCGGGUCAAAGGAGCAAUUCGCUUAAGGAGGGGGUCGCGGCCGAUUAGUUAGUUGGCGGGGUAAUGGCCCACCAAGACUAUGAUCGGUAUCCGGCCUGAGAGGGCGCACGGACACACUGGAACUGAAACACGGUCCAGACUCCUACGGGAGGCAGCAGUGGGGAAUUUUGCGCAAUGGGGAAACCCUGACGCAGCAACGCCGCGUGGAGGAUGAAGUCCCUUGGGACGUAAACUCCUUUCGAUCGGGACGAUAAUGACGGUACCGAGAGAAGAACGCCCGGCUAACUUCGCGCCAGCAGCCGC